AACCUGCAAGGCGGAGCGAGGAGGAGAGAGCUUGGACUCUGAGCCAGAGGCUGCGGGCCUGGGGUUCCAGGGGGCUGGCAGCGUGGGCGGCGGGGAGGCCGGGGGCCUGGACACCAGUGUCCUGAGGAAAUGGGGUCCGGGAGUUGGGGGAAGGGACAAGGCUGGGAGUGCAGACUAGGACAUUACAGAAGUAGAGGCUGAGACUCUGUGGUCCUAGAGAAAUAGAGGCUGGACCUAGGGGAGGGGGUUAUGGGGUACUGAGAACAGAACUGAGAGCCUGGACCACGGGUUCUGUACUCACCUGCGGGGCAAGUGACCAGGUGCCCCCUGGAGGUGACACUCCGGCAGUCCAGGCCAAUGUUCCUUAUUGCCGCAGGAUCUAGGGAAGGAGUGACCGAGGUAACUGUGAAACCGAGCUGCUCCUCCCCCAAUCUCAUGCUGCCCAGGCCCUGGUGGUUUGGAGAUGGGCAGGGGGCUCAAGGAAACCGCCCCUGGGGAAGGCCCAGGGGGUCGGGAGCUCAUCACCUCUCAAGAUUCUGCUUUGAGAAUAAUCGACAAUUGACGUGUGCAAACUACGGCCCAUGGGCCAGAUCUAGCCCACCAUCUUUUUUUUUUUUUUUUGGCCACACUGAGCAUCAUGCGGGAUCUUAGUUCCCCAGCCAGGGAUCGAACACCCAUCCCCCUGCAAUGGAAGCACGGAGUCUUAACCGCUGGACCACCAGGGAAGUCCCGCCUACCAUCUCUUUUUGUAUGACUCAUGAGCUAAGAAUGGUUUUCACAUUGUUUGGGUUUGUUUUGUUUCCAAUAUGGAUGGAUUUUUUAAAAAUUGUGAUAAAACACCCGUAACAUAAAAUGUACCAUUUUAACCAUUUUCAAGUGUAAAUUCAGCAGCAUUGAGGCAGUGUGACCACCGAGGCAGACACUGGAAUGCUGUGGCCACAAGCCAAGGAAUGCCAGAAGCCACCAGAAGCUGGAAGAAGCAAAGAACCAACUUUUCCCUAGUCUUUAGAGGGAGUAUGGCUUGAUUUCAGCCAUACAGUGUUGUGUAAUCAUCAGCCCUGUCCAUUUCCAGAACUUUCUUUUUACCAUCCUAAACUGAAACCUUACCUAUUAAACACUAAGUCGCACUUCCUCUUGAA